GGAGGGGUGUGCCGAACGGUAAGGCAGCGGUUUGCUAAACCGUCGUCCUAACGGACUUCCCGGUUCAAAUCCGGGUCCCUCCGCCA
rnacentral:tRNA from 1 species